rnacentral:rRNA from 1 species
UACGUAGGGUGCGAGCGUUGUCCGGAAUUAUUGGGCGUAAAGAGCUUGUAGGCGGUUUGUCGCGUCUGCUGUGAAAAUCCGGGGCUCAACCCCGGACUUGCAGUGGGUACGGGCAGACUAGAGUGUGGUAGGGGAGACUGGAAUUCCUGGUGUAGCGGUGAAAUGCGCAGAUAUCAGGAGGAACACCGAUGGCGAAGGCAGGUCUCUGGGCCACUACUGACGCUGAGGAGCGAAAGCAUGGGGAGCAAACAGG